rnacentral:rRNA from 1 species
CGUGGGUAACCUGCCCAAGAGAUCGGGAUAACACCUGGAAACAGAUGCUAAUACCGGAUAACAACAGAUGAUGCCUAUCAACUGUUUAAAAGAUGGUUCUGCUAUCACUCUUGGAUGGACCUGCGGUGCAUUAGCUAGUUGGUAGGGUAACGGCCUACCAAGGCGAUGAUGCAUAGCCGAGUUGAGANACUGAUCGGCCACAUUGGGGCUGAGACACGGCCCAAACUCCUACGGGAGGCAGCAGCC